rnacentral:rRNA from 1 species
ACGGGAGGCAGCAGUAGGGAAUUUUCGUCAAUGGGGGGAACCCUGAACGAGCAAUGCCGCGUGAGUGAGGAAGGUCUUCGGAUCGUAAAGCUCUGUUGUAAGAGAAAAACGGCACUCAUAGGGAAUGAUGAGUGAGUGAUGGUAUCUUACCAGAAAGUCACGGCUAACUACGUGCCAGCAGCCGCGGUAAUACGUAGGUGGCGAGCGUUAUCCGGAAUGAUUGGGCGUAAAGGGUGCGUAGGUGGCAGAUCAAGUCUGGAGUAAAAGGUAUGGGCUCAACCCGUAUUUGCUCUGGAAACUGAUCAGCUAGAGAACAGAAGAGGACGGCGGAACUCCAUGUGUAGCGGUAAAAUGCGUAGAUAUAUGGAAGAACACCGGUGGCGAAGGCGGCCGUCUGGUCUGAUUCUGACACUGAAGCACGAAAGCGUGGGGAGCAAAUAGGAUUAGAUACCCUAGUAGUCCACGCCGUAAACGAUGCACAACUCGGUCGUUUGGGGGCAUCAAUCCGAUGUCC